AACAAACGCUGGCGGCGUGCCUAACACAUGCAAGUCGUACGAGAAAGGGUCUUCGGACCUGAGUAAAGUGGCGCACGGGUGAGUAACGCGUGGAUAAUCUGCCCUUCAGUUGGGAAUAACUCAUCGAAAGGUGGGAUAAUACCGAAUAAUGCUGCAUGGCCUCGGCUGUGCAGCCAAAGAUGGCCUCUGCUUGCAAGCUGUCGCUGAAGGAUGAGUCCGCGUACCAUUAGCUAGUUGGUAGGGUAAUGGCCUACCAAGGCAACGAUGGUUAGCUGGUCUGAGAGGAUGAUCAGCCACACUGGAACUGAGAUACGGUCCAGACUCCUACGGGUGCAG
rnacentral:rRNA from 1 species